UACGUAGGUGGCAAGCGUUGUCCGGAUUUACUGGGCGUAAAGAGCGCGCAGGCGGUCGUUCAAGUCGCGUGUGAAAGCCCCCGGCUCAACUGGGGAGGGUCACGCGAUACUGAUCGACUCGAAGGCAGGAGAGGGAAGUGGAAUUCCCGGUGUAGUGGUGAAAUGCGUAGAUAUCGGGAGAACACCAGUGGCGAAGGCGACUUCCUGGCCUGUUCUUGACGCUGAGGCGCGAAAG
rnacentral:rRNA from 1 species